UACGUAGGGGGCAAGCGUUGUCCGGAAUCAUUGGGCGUAAAGCGCGUGUAGGCGGUUCGGUAAGUCCGCUGUGAAAGUCGGGGGCUCAACCCUCGGAUGCCGGUGGAUACUGUCGGGCUUGAGUACGGAAGAGGCGAGUGGAAUUCCUGGUGUAGCGGUGAAAUGCGCAGAUAUCAGGAAGAACACCCGUGGCUAAGGCGGUUCUCUAGUACGGUACUGACGCUGAGACGCGAAAGCGUGGGGAGCGAACAGG
rnacentral:rRNA from 1 species